rnacentral:tRNA from 1 species
GCCAGUGUUGCUCAGUGGAUAGAGCGUCAGCCGCACAAUGAAGGGUCCUGGGUUCAAUUCCAGGCAAGGGCA